UACGUAGGGGGCUAGCGUUGUCCGGAAUCAUUGGGCGUAAAGCGCGCGUAGGCGGCCCGGUAAGUCCGCUGUAAAAGUCAAAGGCUCAACCUUUGAAUGUCAGUGGAUACUGCCGGGCUAGAGUCCGGAAGAGGCGAGUGGAAUUCCCGGUGUAGCGGUGAAAUGCGCAGAUAUCAGGAGGAACACCGAUGGCGAAGGCAGGUCUCUGGGCCAUAACUGACGCUGAGAAGCGAAAGCAUGGGGAGCGAACAGG
rnacentral:rRNA from 1 species